rnacentral:rRNA from 1 species
AUACGGAGGGUCCAAGCGUUAUCCGGAAUCAUUGGGUUUAAAGGGUCCGCAGGCGGUCAAUUAAGUCAGAGGUGAAAGCCCAUCGCUCAACGAUGGAACUGCCUUUGAUACUGGUUGACUUGAGUUAUACGGAAGUAGAUAGAAUAAGUAGUGUAGCGGUGAAAUGCAUAGAUAUUACUUAGAAUACCGAUUGCGAAGGCAGUCUACUACGUAUAUACUGACGCUGAGGGACGAAAGCGUGGGGAGCGAACAGGAGUAGAAACCCUUGUAGUCC